AAUGAACGUUGGCGGCGUGGAUUAGGCAUGCGAGUCGUGCGAGAACCGUAGCAAUACGGGGAAAGCGGCGAAAGGGAGAGGAAUACGCGGGUACCUACCCUCGGAUCUGGGAUAGCCACGGGAAACUGUGGGUAAUACCAGAUAAUGUCUCCGGACCAAAGGUGUGAUUCCGUCCGGGGAGGGGCCCACGUCCUAUUACCUAGUUGGUGAGGUAACGGCUCACCAAGGCGAAGAUGGGUAUGGGAUGUGAGAGCAUGAUCCCACUCAUUGGGACUGAGACACUGCCCAGACACCUACGGGUGGCUGCAGUCGAGAAUCUUCGGCAAUGGGGGAAACCCUGACCGAGCGACGCCGCGUGCGAGAUGAAGGCCUUCGGGUUGUAAAUCGCUGUCAGUGGGGAGGAAAUGUUGGUGGGUUCUCCCAUCAAUUUGACCUAUCCGCAGAGGAAGGACGGGCUAAGUUCGUGCCAGCCGCCGCAGUAACAC
rnacentral:rRNA from 1 species